rnacentral:SRP_RNA from 2 species
GCCGGGUGUGAUGAUGUGCACCUGUAAUCCCAGCUCCUCGGGAGGCUGAGGCAGGAGAAUCGCUUGAACCCAGGAGGUGGAGGUUGCAGUGAGCCGAGAUUGCGCCACUGCACUCCACCCUGGGUAACAGAGUGAGACUCUGUCUCAA